rnacentral:miRNA from 1 species
ACUGCCAAUGUGCAAGUUCGUGGGCCCCAAUCCAGAGAAUGAAUCAGAAUCUCAGGGAUGGAGUACAGGAAUCUGCAUUUUCAACACCCACCCAGGUCAUUCUGGU